rnacentral:rRNA from 1 species
GGCCGCGGGAAUUCGAUUCAGGCCUAACACAUGCAAGUCGAGCGGGAUUUAGUAGUUAGCUUGCUAACUACUGAUGAGAGCGGCGUACGGGUGCGGAACACGUGUGCAACCUGCCUUUAUCUGGGAGAUAGCCUUUCGAAAGGAAGAUUAAUACCCCAUAGUAUACUGACUGGCAUCAGUUGAUAUUGAAAACUCCGGUGGAUAAAGAUGGGCACGCGCAAGAUUAGAUAGUUGGUGAGGUAACGGCUCACCAAGUCGAUGAUCUUUAGGGGGCCUGAGAGGGUGAUCCCCCACACUGGGACUGAGACACGGACCAGACUCCUACGGGAGGCAGCAGUGAGGAAUAUUGGACAAUGGGUUAGCGCCUGAUAAAGCCAUCCCGCGUGAAGGAUUAAGGACCUAUGGUUUAAAGGUUCUUUUGUACAGGGAUAAACCUACUCUCGUGAGAGUA